AUUGAACGCUGGCGGCAUGCCUUACACAUGCAAGUCGAACGGCAGCACGGGAGCAAUCCUGGUGGCGAGUGGCGAACGGGUGAGUAAAGUAUCGGAACGUGCCCAGUCGUGGGGGAUAACGUAGCGAAAGUUACGCUAAUACCGCAUACGAUCUAUGGAUGAAAGCGGGGGAUCGCAAGACCUCGCGCGAUUGGAGCGGCCGAUAUCAGAUUAGGUAGUUGGUGGGGUAAAGGCUCACCAAGCCGACGAUCUGUAGCUGGUCUGAGAGGACGACCAGCCACACUGGGACUGAGACACGGCCCAGACUCCUACGGGAGGCAGCAGUGGGGAAUAUUGGACAAUGGGCGAAAGCCUGAUCCAGCCAUGCCGCGUGCAGGAUGAGGGCCUUCGGGUUGUAAACUGCUUUUGUACGGAACGAAAAGGUUUGGGCUAAGAAGCUGAGCUCAUGACGGUACCGUAAGAAUAAGCACCGGCUAACUACGUGCCAGCCGCCGCGGUAA
rnacentral:rRNA from 1 species